rnacentral:lncRNA from 1 species
GCAGGAAGGGUGGGGGGUGAGCAAGGGAAGAGGGGGAGAUGGUCGCCCAGAGUUGAGGGGGUGGGGAGGGAGGCGCGCAGGAGCCCAGCAGAGGUUCCCACUAAAUGAGCUUGGGAGGGGAAAUGUAAGAUGAGGCGAUGGGUCUCUCCCCCGCCCUCCUUCUACCCUACCCUCCUUCCCCCUUCGCGCCCUUUCCUUGGGCUCUUCCUCUCGUGGCUCAGGCUGGGGGUUACCCAAGCUUGGCAGCAGCCGCGGCUUCAGCGCGCUGGUGCGAGUGCUGAGUCCGGGAGGCAGCCUCUACAGCUCUCCCCGCCACCGGCCUGUGGCACCUGUGCGCGCACACUGCCGCCCGCUCCAUUGCGGCGGCUCCUGGACCAGGAUCCGCAGCCUGUCGCCCUCCUUCUCUCCUCUUUCUGGGCAGAUUAUGAUCCUACAUGUGCAUCCAUGACAUCUGUAUAGUCCCCCAUUGGUGUUUGUUUCCCUGGGCGCUCUUUGGCACUGGCUGUCCCGCCAGAAGGCGCCAGCAGGGAGCUCAAUGCCGGCAACCAUCGCCUGCCCCUUGGAGCUGUUGCCUGGGCAGGGGUGGCCUUGGUUGUUUACCGCCGGGGUUGACCAGCUAACGAGCUCCCAGGCAGCUGUGAUGGUGGGGAGGCAGCUGCACAGUGAUGGCAGUGGCUGCCAGGCAGUCCCCCACAACCCUGAGAAAGGAAAAUUCUGCUCUCUGAAUCUGUAGAAAGAGGAGGAUGAGAGCGAGGGGCAGGAGGAAGAUGUGGAGAAGGAGAAAGAUGAAAGAAGAAGCCUUCAUAAAUACUGUAUGUGGCCCAUAAACCCUGAAGUAUUUAACAUCUGGUCCUUUACAGAAAACCUUUGCCAACCCCUGGUCCAAAGAAAUGGAAACACCUUGAUAGGAACAAUUUCAUAUGUUUUCUGUUUCUUUCUAGUGUUUUAAAUUCAUGUCACAAGGGAGCACCUAAUAAGGACCUGACUCACAGUGGACAUUAAAACAGUGAUUAUGUGAACUAAUUGGUGGAUAAAUCGUUGGCUCUCUGCUUCAAGCACAGCAAAACAAGUCAGCUUCUUGGAUAUCUUUUAUGGGAGAUAAUAUGGCUAUCCAAAUGUUCACCAAUCCCUCACUUAUGCCUUGUGCCCACUCAUGGGAGACAUAUAAUCUCAUGCCCCAGUGAUGUUGGGCUUUGACAUGUGACUUGCUUUGGCCAAGAGAAUGUAAUCAGAGAUAACAUAUGCCACAUUUUAUUAGAAGCUGUGAGAGAUAUUUUACAUUUCUAUCAGUCACCUUUAAUUUCUGCCCUCUGGAAUUUUAAAAGUAUGUUGUAGUUGUGGCUAAUAUUUCCACUUGGAUACUGCAAUAAGAAAACACAAAGAGACAGGCCAAGCACAAUAAGACCAACCAACCAAAUCCAGAAAUGCUCAGCCAAACUGAAGCUGACCCUCGGCAUUCAUGUGAUGGGUGAGAACUACAAGGUGUAAGCCUUUGAGAUUUUGUGGUUCUCUGGCUGAAAGAAAAGUUGAUUGAUAUCCUUCUAUAAAACAAAAGAUUCAGAAGGAUCUAAUGGAUUAGGUUUUAGUAUAUUAUUGCAAAUCAUAAUGAAUUCUUAGAUACAUAUUUUUUAACCAUAAUAGGAAGAAUAGCUAUUUAUACAACUCAUAUUUACAAGAUGAUUUCAUAUUUUUAGUUCAUUUUCUGCUGUGUAGAAAUGUAAUGGUUAUAAUAUGGUGCCCUUUCAUGCUCAUCAAGCACUCUUUUAUCUCACUAAUGAAGGGCAAAAGUGAUGGACAUAUGUUGUUACUAGAAUAAAAGGCCACCUUACACUCAAGAAAAUUAAUGUAUUACUGUGAUAACUUUGUUCUCUAUUAAAAAUGAAUCAUUCUUGAAUCAGAAUUUCUUUACUUUGGAAGUUAGUAUUUCACCCUUAUAUCAAUUUAACUUUGUAGAAAUAUGACUAGAAAUUAAAUGGCAUAAAAACUGAGAAA